UCUGAUAUUUUUGCGGAGAUAUUACCGAUGAGAGAGAUUACAGUCUUCACACUUCGUUUCUUGUGAGUGUUUGCCAAAUCAAAAAAUUUUUUUUUGCUGUUUUUUCAAUACCGAUAAAAUAAAUGGGUGAAGGAAGGACUGAGGUACAGUCAUUUUUAUCGCACUUUGACUGAGAGAAAAAAUAUAAUUUUGCCAAUUAAAUAUUCUUCUCAUAAGAGCAAUUAAACAGCAAUUAAUUAUUCAACUAAUUAAUAUUCAGAAUUGAAUUUACGGGGAUAUUUUGUAUUACAUUUCCAUGAGUCAUCUGUUCCCGAAUUACAGAUCUGUAUCAACUUCACAUCGAAUGGCACUUGUUAAUCAAUCAAUGGCCCCCUGAAUCGUCACCUCCCAUUAGAAAAUAUUCGUCAAAAAUCCCAAGUGGCAUCGAAAAUUCAAAUUCUCCGAGUACCUAGAAUAGAUUGACCCAAUAAAGUAUCCAAAACUGACUAAAAAAUGCCAAUGACUCAGCGAAAUGGAAAGAAAACUCUUCGCUCAGCGAGAAAUGUCAAUCUCGUUGUGACAGCAAUGCGAAAUUUACGAGAUGAAAAUGGCUGUACGGUUGGAAAUAUCGUCGGUUAUAUCUCUGAUUACUGUGACCGACCAGCGCCAAAGCGUGAGGUCAUAGCAGCACUAAAACGCGGUCUAGAAUUUGGAAUAGUGGAUCGCAAGCGAGGCCGAUAUUUCCUCCAAACGGAUGAGAAAAAUAUUGAGGAUAAAAAACGAGGAACUCGUCCAAAAUUAUCGCCUGGCGAUGAGGGCAAUGAAGUUGCUGUCGAGCAAAAGAGAACAAGUAAACCAGCUAAGCUGAAAAAAUCAAGACGUGUGGGUAAAGGGAAAGAUGGAAGAAGGAAAAAGGGGAGAAAAGCUGCGAUAAAAAAAUCCAAAAAGACUAGGAUAUCUAGGACAAUCAAGCCAUACAAAUUGGAUGAUUUUGACAGAAAUCCAAAGUCCAGACCUUCAUUCGAUUCUUCCCUAGAUUCUAUGGAUUAUUUCCGAGAGGAAGACAUUUAUAAUUAUUAAAAAAAUAUACUUUUUUCCCCACAAAAUUGAAUAAAUUCAUUUUUCAUAUGG